CAUAUAUUUUUGUAUGAUGGUAUGCUGAAGACUGGAUUUGCAGUACAUUGGUCAAUAAAUCAAGUAAAUGUGUAAAAUUUUGUGUAUUGUAUAGACAUGGUUUGAGCUUUUUUAUGAGUAUUUGUUGAUCCUACUUAGUUUUAUAGUAUAUCUGUAACAUAUUUCUAUUGUCUUCUGUUAUUUUUGCUUUAUUAAAUCAGCGUCCAUGACUACAACUGAUGUUGUUCUUUUGAGGCAGAGUGGGAUGGAGAUUAGUUCUUCAAGCCAUGUAUUAUGGAGGGAAGAAACCUCUGUGUCUAAGAUUGGAACAGCCUUUCCACUGUAAAGAGAAAUGUUGUUCUCCUCUACAGCUUUUGGAAAUGUUAUACCAGAAAGCAAAUUGGCAUGUCAGAGGAGAGUCAAGGGGGUGUUUAUUUCCAAAUUUGGAGAGAAAUGGCAUACUGCAUUUGGAGAGAUGGGUAUUGAAAGUUCAGUGUUUUUCCUGAUUGGUUAUUUUUGUGACAUGAUCACUUCAUAACAUUGAGGUCUUGAACUGUAAAAUUUGACUUAUUGGUUAGCUUUUGACAACGAUAGCGUUUGGGGGCCUGCUGAAGUGAUAAGGCACCUUAUUUUGGUAGUUAUUCAUUUCUGAGAUAGAAACAUCAGAACUCGGCCGACAUUUUGGAAACAUUUCAAUUCUGAUCUUAACUACCAUAAUAAAGCAAGGUUCAAAAAGGUGUGCUGGAUGUGGCAUAGGUGAAGCUACAGUUUGGUUUCAGAACUUCACCUAGAAUUUCUGAGUUGUGGAGGGAAGCAGGAAGACCUUAUAAGCCAA